rnacentral:rRNA from 1 species
AACGAACGCUGGCGGCAUGCCUAACACAUGCAAGUCGAACGAGACCUUCGGGUCUCGUGGCGCACGGGUGCGUAACGCGUGGGAACCUGCCCUUAGGUUCGGAAUAACUCCCCGAAAGGGGAGCUCAUACCGGAUAAUUUCUUCGUACCAAAGAUUUAUCGCCUUUGGAGGGGCGCGCGUUGGAUUCGCUAGUUGGUAGGGGAAAAGCGUACCAAGGAGACGAUCCAUAGCUGGGCUGAGAGGAUGAUCCGCCACACCGGGGCUGGGACACGGCCCAGACUCCUGCGGGAGGCAGCAGUGGGUAAUAUAGGACAGUGGGGGGAAGCCUGAUGCAGCUAGGGCGCGUGAGUUAUGAAGGCGUUAGGGUUGGAAAGCACGUUUACCCGAGAUGAGAAUGACGGUACCGGGAGAAUAAGCACCGGCUAACUCCGUG